rnacentral:tRNA from 1 species
UCCCUGGUGGUCUGGCGGCUAAGACUCCACACUCCAGAUGCAGGAGGACCAGGUUCGAUCCCUGGUCAGGGAU